ACGAAUAGUCCGCGAAUAGGCGACGAAUAGUACGAAUAGUCGACGAAUAGUGCAAUAGAGACUUUGCAAGGCUUUCAUGUAGCAGUGCUGUAGAACUAAAUUUACCGGGGGGGGGCUCUGUUGACAAACAUGAAAUCGUAAAAACAUUCGUUGACGUACGUCAAUGACGUCAUACGUAACCGGUAAAAAUUACGGGAACCACUGAG